rnacentral:rRNA from 1 species
GCCUACGGGAGGCAGCAGUGGGGAAUAUUGCACAAUGGGGGGAACCCUGAUGCAGCGACGCCGCGUGGGUGAAGGAGUAUUUCGGUAUGUAAAGCCCUAUCAGCAGGGAAGAACAAUGACGGUACCUGACUAAGAAGCACCGGCUAAAUACGUGCCAGCAGCCGCGGUAAUACGUAGGGGGCAAGCGUUAUCCGGAUUUACUGGGUGUAAAGGGAGCGUAGACGGCUAAUCAAGUCAGAAGUGAAAACCCAGGGCUCAACUUUGGGACUGCUUUUGAAACUGAGUAGCUAGAGUGCAGGAGAGGG